rnacentral:tRNA from 1 species
AUCUGUUUGCACAAGCCUCUGAGAGGGAUGAAGAUAUUGUUUUCUUUGAUCAGAUUAUGCCGGUAAAGGUUUUCUGGUUUACCCUAUAGGGCUUGUAGCUCAGUUGGUUAGAGCGCGCGCUUGAUAAGCGUGAGGUCGGAGGUUCAAGUCCUCCCAGGCCCACCAGUUACACGAUGCUAAAAGUUGCUAUAUUGGGAGAGUUGAUAAUCCCUUACAGGAAAUUAUUGCCCUUAAUAAAACUUUAUUUUCUAAAAGCAUUCAGAGCUGACAUAGAAUAGAGCUGACAUAGAAUUGAGAAUCUGACAUAGGAAUUAUUGAAAUUGUUUUGGAAUUAUUGAAAUUGUUUUCUAUCAUUUUAAAAGGCUAAAAUAUUCUGUCUCUAUUUUUAAAAUAGCAUCAGGUGUUUUGUAAGAGUGUGAAGUUUUUAAGUGUGAGGUUUUUUAUAUUUUAGUGUGAGGUUUUUAUAAGGGUAUGACGUGAGAGCGUUUUGACCUGUUUUAGGGGCCGUAGCUCAGCUGGGAGAGCACCUGCUUUGCAAGCAGGGGGUCGUCGGUUCGAUCCCGUCCGGCUCCACCAUAAUUUGGUUCAUCAUUAUUGUUAGAAGAAUAGUUAUUGCAAGAGAUUGAGAGAUCUCUUUGCUUGUUCUAUUGAAAUUGUGAAGAAGAAGGUAUAUUCAGACGUUUUUUGCUUGAACUCAUUCUUAUGAAAGAGAUUUUUCUUAUGAAAGAGAUUUUUAAGAAUGGAUAGCUUAAAAAGAAGAAUGGAUGGCUUAAAAAGGUGGCUUAAAAAGAUGGCUGUUUUUAAAUGAAAAUAGUUAUUUUUACGCUCUUUUGACGAUUGUUACAACAUUAUACGAUUAAAACAUUAUACGAUAAUGAUGAUAACGAUAAUAAAAAGAGCUUUCAUUAAUAAAAAGAGCUUUCAUUAAUAUUAAAGAGCUUUCAUUAGUGCUAAAGAGCUUUCAUUAAUAAUACAGAGCUUUCAUUGAGCUUUCAUUGAAGAAUCAUUUUGAGCAAA